ACUCCUCCAAUGCAGGGAAGGAUGAGAAGCUUCGACUAAGGUUCGAUUCGAGCGUAGCGAGAAAGCGUUGCCGCAGGCAACGACCCGAAGGGUGAGGAGCAAAGCGACGAAUUAUCCUUCCCCCACCACCA
rnacentral:sRNA from 1 species